rnacentral:rRNA from 1 species
GACGAACGCUGGCGGCGUGCCUAAUACAUGCAAGUCGAGCGGACGGAUGGGAGCUUGCUCCCAGACCGUCAGCGGCGGACGGGUGAGUAACACGUGGGCAACCUGCCUGUAAGACUGGGAUAACUCCGGGAAACCGGGGCUAAUACCGGAUAACUCUUUCCCUCACAUGAGGGAAAGCUGAAAGAUGGCAUCUCGCUAUCACUUACAGAUGGGCCCGCGGCGCAUUAGCGAGUUGGUGAGGUAACGGCUCACCAAGGCGACGAGGCGUAGCCGACGUGGGGGGGUGGUCGGCCACACUGGGACUGAGCCACGGCCCAGACUCCUACGGGAGGCAGCAGUAGGGAAUCUUCCGCAAUGGACGAAAGUCUGACGGAGCAACGCCGCGUGAGUGAUGAAGGUGUUCGGAUCGUAAAACUCUGUUGUCAGGGAAGAACAAGUACCGGAGUAACUGCCGGUACCUUGACGGUACCUGACCAGAAAGCCACGGCUAACUACGUG